GGUUCUGUGGUCUAGAGGUAUGAUUCUCCCUUAGGGUGGGAGAGGUCCCGGGUUCAAUUCCCAGCAGAGCCC
rnacentral:tRNA from 1 species